UAGGGAAUCUUCCACAAUGGACGCAAGUCUGAUGGAGCAACGCCGCGUGAGUGAAGAAGGUUUUCGGACCGUAAAGCUCUGUUGUUGGUGAAGAAGGAUAGAGGUAGUAAACUGGCCUUUAUUUGACGGUAAUCAACCAGAAAGUCACGGCUAACUACGUGCCAGCAGCCGCGGUAAUCGUAGGUGGCAAGCGUUGUCCGGAUUUAUUGGGCGUAAAGCGAGCGCAGGCGGAAGAAUAAGUCUGAUGUGAAAGCCCUCGGCUUAACCGAGGAAUUGCAUCGGAAACUGUUUUUCUUGAGUGCAGAAGAGGAGAGUA
rnacentral:rRNA from 1 species